GACGAACGCUGGAGGCGUGCUUAACACAUGCAAGUCGAACGAUGAAAUGGAGCUUGCUCCAUGGAUUAGUGGCGAACGGGUGAGUAACACGUGAAUAACCUGCCCUUAAUUUUGGAAUAACCCAGGGAAACCUGGGCUAAUACCGGAUAAGUAAACCUGUGGCAUCACAUGGUUUUGGAAAGUUUUUCGAUUAAGGAUGGAUUCGCGGCCUAUCAGCUUGUUGGUGAGGUAAUGGCUCACCAAGGCGACGGCGGGUAGCCGGCCCGAGAGGGUGAACGGCCACACUGGGACUGAGACACGGCCCAGACUCCUACGGGAGGCAGCAGUGGGGAAUAUUGCGCAAUGGACGAAAGUCUGACGCAGCGACGCCUCGUGAGGGACGAAGGUCUUCGGAUUGUAAACCUCUUUCAGCAGGGACGAAGCGAAAGUGACGGUACCUGCAGAAGAAGCACCGGCUAACUAUGUGCCAGCAGCCGCAGUAA
rnacentral:rRNA from 1 species